rnacentral:misc_RNA from 1 species
ACCUUUAUAAUUAAUCUUAUUCCAAUGCAUGUGCUUCUGUGCAUUGUGACUGGUCGGUACUCAUCCCGGUUAUACAUUGCAUAUGCUCCCCUUGUGGUCUUGGGAACAUUACUUGCUGCUUUGGUGCCUGUUGUUGGUUUUAAUGCAGUCAUGACAUCAGAACAUUUUGCUUCAUUUUUGGUUUUCAUUAUCAUCCAUGUGGUGGCUUUUGUGUAUUAUAUUAAAGGGAUUCUCUCUCCAAAAAUGUUUAAAGUAGCUGUUA